rnacentral:rRNA from 1 species
ACACGACUACAUUAGAUACCCCCGUAGUCCUGGCCGUAAACGAUGUGGACUUGGUGUUGGAAUGGCUCAGAGCUGCUCCAGUGCCGAAGGGAAGCUGUUAAGUCCACCGCCUGGGAAGUACGGUCGCAAGGCUGAGACUUAAAGGAAUUGGCGGGGAGCACCACAACGGGUGGAGCCUGCGGUUUAAUUGGACUCAACGCCGGGAAGCUCACCGGAUAAGACAGCGGAAUGAUUGCCGGGCUGAAGACUCUGCAUGACUAGCUG